GAAAGAAGGGCGGGACCGCGACGGGCCAGGUGACCGGAAGAGGCCGGCCCAAGAGAACCUGGGCUACAGGAAAAGGCGGUGUCAGUCAUCGGGCGCCAGCCCACAGGAAGGGGCGGGGAUAGCACCUAGGAGCUGGGCAUAGAGAGGUGGGGCCUAGGCCCCGGCUUGUGGCCGACCCCGCCCAUCCUCGAGCAGGUACCAGGGCCACGUGGGUGCAUCGCUGAUCGUGGGCGGCGUAGACCUGACUGGACCGCAGCUCUACGGCGUGCAUCCCCAUGGCUCCUACAGCCGUCUGCCCUUCACAGCCCUGGGUGAGCGCUUCAGUCCCUUCUCCUCGAACUCUGCCCCUGUGACCUUGGCCUCACUCCAAACGGCGUCGCAGCGGUUGACUUCAGAUGCUUCUCCUGCCUUCAGGCUCUGGUCAGGACGCGGCCCUGGCGGUGCUAGAAGACCGGUUCCAGCCGAACAUGACGCUGGAGGCUGCUCAGGGGCUGCUGGUGGAAGCCGUCACCGCCGGGAUCUUGGGUGACCUGGGCUCCGGGGGCAAUGUGGACGCAUGUGUGAUCACGAAGACUGGCGCCAAGCUGCUGCGGACACUGAGCUCACCCACAGAGCCCGUGAAGAGGUCUGGCCGCUACCACUUUGUGCCUGGAACCACAGCUGUCCUGACCCAGACAGUGAAGCCACUAACCCUGGAGCUAGUGGAGGAAACUGUGCAGGCUAUGGAGGUGGAGUAAGCUGAGGCUUAGAGCUUGGAACAAGGGGGAAUAAACCCAGAAAAUACAGUUAAACAGAUGGCUCUGUCAUUCUUGAGUGGAAUGGGGUGGGCAGGCAGCCAGCAGGGCUCUGUAGCUAAGGCGUCCCUGCAGGGGCCAUUACCUACCAUAGCUCUAGUGUCUGGCCUAAGAGAUGCCC
rnacentral:lncRNA from 1 species